UUUCCGUAGGUGAACCUGCGGAAGGAUCAUUCAUAAUAAAGUGUUUUAUGGCACUUUUUAAAAAUCCAUAUCCACCUUGUGUGCAAUGUUAGAUCUCAUCAAUCUUGGCGAGAUUUUUAUACAUCAACUCAUUCUUUAACUAAUUUGUCUGAAAAUAUUAUGAAUACUUAAUUCAAAAUACAACUUUCAACAACGGAUCUCUUGGCUCUC
rnacentral:misc_RNA from 1 species